CACAUGUGUAACAUUUCAUGUGUCACAUACUGUAAAACGAUAUAAAAAUAAUGCGCCUGCAAGUAGACUGCAAACAACUGAACCCUUUUGAUUUGAUUGUGUGCACAUACACAUGUAGUAUACCACUGCUUUGAUCUACUUUUGAUAUCACGACGAGAUUGAAAUGAUAUCUGCAAUUGAAAUUAAAACCGUGUUCGUGUGUUUUAAUUUCCUGCGUCGCAAAAGGUUCUGAUUGGUUGAUUCAAGGUCAACUAGGUACAAUUAUCACGGCUCGAGGAACUCUAUAAAGCUGAGUCGAAAAACCGACGCUUCACUUUAGUUGGAGUGCUUUUACGAAACGGUUUUGCUUUUUUCGAACAGUUUAAUUUCGGUGAAAAGUUUAAAGUGGAAUUAGUUCUGGUGAUUGUGAUACUUUUUCUGGAAAAGCACAAUCAAAGCUUUGAAGAAUAGUUUCCCCCAGAACAAGCAAAGGUUAUGCGAACCCUUUGCACGUGUCAGGUUGCCCAAUAACGUGGGUGCAAGUCUCGGGGCAGAAAAGCCGUACAUUUCGUCGUUCGACGCUGGGAAAGCUUCGUUGGUCAGACUGGUGGAUGAAAACCACGACGGGGUCGUGACGAACCGUUUCAACCGCCUUAGUCAACUCCAACGACUCGGACACGCAUCUACUCCGCCCACCCAGUUGACCCCACACGUCCUUUUCGAAGCAAUCCCAGAGCUUGGAGGAAGUUCCGAGCUUUCGAGCACGCCAAAAGCUCGCCGGCUGCCCAGCCGAUUCUAACCUCGCUUGCCCGACCGAAGGAAGUGCGAGGAACGAGACAAAAGCCUGACAGCAGCAGUACCAUCCGUCUCCACGGAUUCGAAACAACGUUGGACCGAGCGUCCCCAUCAAGAACGUCGCCUUGCGACGGCCACGUGUAAACGUUGGUUCCGCUAGACGCCGCUUGGGGGCUGGAAGCCCAAAGCGCGGCGAAGAACGUGUCGACGCCGAUCGCUGUGCCACGUGUCCACGGUGGAGUACUGCUAGCCGCCGCUAGAGUGCGGUAGGGUUGCGCGAAUGCACCGGAGCUGUUUGAUCGCUGAUCGUCGCAGUAGGUCCGGACCUAGGAGAAUCUUCACGCCGUUCAAGAACACCUGCAAGCAGUUGCUGGUUCCAGAUUAGUAGGGUAAAGUACAGUGCACGACAAUAGGGAAUAGUUUUUGCUAGAUUUAAGAUCUAAACCCCCCCUUAGUAUUAGUUUGAACUCAUUUACAACCACAAAUAAAAACCCCGGGUCUUUUUCGGAUUUUGCGUUGCAAAAACGAGGAUUAAUUCUGCACGCGUUUAACUUAAAUAUACCUUCUUUCGUUUCGUAAUGAACUUUGUUUUUCUUAAUAAAUUUUGGAUUAGAAUGCACUCUAACUAAUGCGUUCGUUUGUUUUAAAGACUGAGAUGAAAGAGUUCGUAAAUGUUGUUGACCUUGAGUAAAUUUUUGGGAUCUUUUGGUUCGGUUUAGAUUACACUAAAACUCGCCUUGAGAUCAAGAGCUUCAGGUCGGGCUUCCCUGAUUAAAAUCCACAAACAACCUCCAACUUUUGGAGUGGCGCUAAAGUUGUUUGCAGGCUAAGCAUAAAAAGGUGUUUCAAAUCAAUUGGAUCGUCCAGGGAUUGCGCAAUGUAACGCUCCUGGUACGUUGUGAAAAGGUUAAGCGUUACACAUGGAUGCUUGACAUAAAAUUCCAGUCGAAAAGCGUUUUCAGAAUUGCACAUAAUGUUGUAAGCAACUUUAAGCAAAACUUGUAAAUCUCGUUGGAAAAAUGUACGACUCGUGCAUAAAAAAUCUUCUUUUUGCAACUUGUUGCAUAAUAUACUAUUAUUGGAGCAGAUAACAAAAGUUUCAUUUUGAAUCAUUGCAAAUUAAAUAAUUAUAUAAAAUAUAAUUAAAUAAAACAUUUUUGAAAAAGAAAUAGUUCUUAUUUACCCUGUGAUCAAUACGUCAAAUGCUGUAUCAAGUAGGCGAAAACCUGUUUUACCCCUAAUCCAACAAAUUGUUAAAAAAUAUUUUAAUUAAUUCUAAAUAACAAUUUUUCCAAUCAAAUUUACAACUCCAAUACUUCUAACUUACGUGAAAUUGUCCGAGGAUUCCGAAUAUGACAAAAUUGAGACCAAAAAGUGCCGCUAUGGCGGCCUAGAGGGCAAAAACUAACGUUGUAAAAUGUUUGUUCUAGAAAAAUCGAAAAACUAUGAGAAAAACUGCGAUUGGCCAAAAAGUUAUUUCGGUAGGCUUAUAGUCCAUAUAAUUACCUAUCUUUUGACCUAUGGGAGUAUGGGUGUUGGAGGCUGUUGCAAAAAGAUAUUAAGGGUUUAAAAAAAUCCAUUUUUGACAGUAAUUUGCAAAAGCUAAGAGAAAAAGUCGAACCAAUCCUGGAUGUCUAUGGCACAUUUUGAAGUGUUUCAAAAGACCUUUCGAAUGCAUCUAAGAGAGUUGGAAUUGAUGAAGUUUUACGGAAAUGCGAGCAAUUUUAAGAUUUUUUAGGUUUUUUGGACCUCAAACUUCAAAGCCCGUUUUACCCCACUUCCCUUUGUCGUAGAGGGCUCAUAUUUGGCAUGAGUUCAUCUCAUGUAUAGAAAAACAAACGCUGAAAGUUUCAUCCAAAUCGGAGCACCUCGAUACGACCUGUUACACAUUGGUGAAAAACUCGCUCUUAAAUGAAAAAUACAUAAUUUAAUUUCUGAACAUGAUUUCAUAGUUUUUUUUCUUCUUUUCAAAAUAUUUAAUGAUUUGAUAGCAUUUUUUUCCUCCUUCUUUUUUGCAAAUAUUUUUAAUACCUGUGGAUAAUGAAAAGUACUUUUCAGUACUGUUAUUUUUGGCGAUGAAAGGUAAGGCGAUUCGUCAUUCGAAAAUGACAAUAAAAGGUAAAGAAGAUCAUAAUGAAUUACAUAAAUUAAUUUUGCGUACGGUUAUUUGAAAAAUAUUAAGAAUAGAACCUUUAUUCAAAAAGUGUCCGUCCAUUGGAUUUUUAUUCGAAAUGAUUCUCAAAAAUUAACGCUAAAUUUUAACCCAGUUGAGUAAUAUUAGGAGCAGAAACUUAAGUAUAUAAAAAAGUUAUAUUCAUGCGUCUCAUGUUUAAUUGGUGAAGGUUUUCAUAUUUAUUUCUUUUCAUAAUGUUAUUAUUUUGAAAAAUUCAGCAUAAAAUUUUUAUGUUGUAUCAACAUGGAUAACCAAGGUUUCUUUUAAGAAGGGCUUUUUUCGUCCAAAACUUGCUCGCCCUCAAGCUGCUAAUCUCCACUCCAAGCUCAUCAGAUUUGUUAACGACUUGAGCGACAAGCGCCACGAAACCACCCCACUCUGUUGAUGAACCUAAUUUAAGCUUAUGGUUAGUCCACUUUACCUGUUUCACGAGCAACCCCAGGCAGCCCUUAACCUUAAGGCCUCAACCACUCGUUUGCGCGCAAGGUGACGACGAUACGGUGGACCUAUCCCACGCUCAUAAAAAAAAGUUUCCGUCACAAAGGAAAUUUUAUAAACCGAUUUAGUAAACAUCAUUUUGGGGGCUCGUUUUUGUCAUUCUCGUUGUCGUUUGGGCAAGGAAAGUCAGGUAAAUUUUCCCCUCCCGAAUGGUACAUCGUCGCCCUCUGGCUUGGACUAGAGUUUUUCUUCUUUCUGUUGCUUCUUUGCAACACAACGUCUUUUGGUCCUGAUCAAAUUGUGUAAAAGUUACCGUAAUCAACUUACCGGAGCAGAACCGGAGUGAGGGAGACACAUUGAGCUCGUGCAGGAAUAGUCGGAAGGAAUUUCACGAUCUUUUUUUCUGACUUUUUUUUUUCGAGGGGAAGGUGAAGAGAUAAGGCCUCGAAGCGAUAGACGAAAGGUUUUCUUUAAAAAUAUGUAAACAGGGAAAAUUGGAAACAUCAUUAUCGAGGAAUAGGGUGAGGGGAGAUGAACCUCAUCAGGAAAGUUUCUUAGAGGUUAUGUUGAAGGUCUUGCUUUUUUAUAGUUGGUCGAGUAGAUAAACUUCUACUUGAUCAAAUUUACAGGGACUGGAUGGCAGUGUAACAUUUUAACAUCGAAAAUGUUGGAGUUCUUGUGAAACGUGGUUGUUUGUUUUUAAAUAAAGUUGAAAAAGCUUUAAACAUAAUAUUAAAAGAAUUUCAUCAAAUUAAAAUAUCUUGAAAAUUUCAAGUUCUUUGUUUAAUUGUCCUACUUAGCUACAAUAAAAAAAAUAAAAAAAAUAAUGUGUCGUUUUUAAUCCUACACCAAUUUCUAACACAAAUUGCUGCACAUAGCAUACACAUCACGUGUUAACAAAACAAGCAAACAAUCUAGCCAGAGUCUCCCCUCGAUGCCAAAAGGUGAUAACUUACGAGAGGAAACCCUUUCACGAAUGUUCUAUUCAUAAAAACCCGAGCAAUGGAACCUUACACCAUUGACGUUGUCCUUUUCCACUUUGCAUGUUGUUUCAUUUGCAGAUCUUUCUUGUGAAAUUUAAAGGAAAAUAGUCAAGGCUAUUUCUUUAAAAUGAAAAAUUUCCUAAAAUUUUUAGUUUUAUUUACAUAAAGAAGAUGAAAA